rnacentral:rRNA from 1 species
UACGGAGGGGGUCAGCGUUGUUCGGAAUUACUGGGCGUAAAGCGCGCGCAGGUGGUUUCACAAGUCAGUGGUGAAAGCCCGGAGCUCAACUCCGGAACUGCCAUUGAAACUGUGAAGCUCGAGGACGAGAGAGGUGAGUGGAAUUCCCAGUGUAGAGGUGAAAUUCGUAGAUAUUGGGAAGAACACCGGUGGCGAAGGCGGCUCACUGGCUCGUAUCUGACGCUCAAGCGCGACAGCGUGGGGAGCAAACAGG